UUUAUAAAUAUUAAUCCAUAUAAAAAAAAAUUUUCAUCUAAUAAAAUUUACACGAAUCUCACAUCGAUAUCUGACCAAACUCUAAUCGAAUUAUCCUAUUAUCUUGCAAAAUAGUCAUGAUAACAUCGUUAACAUCGUCAUUUCAGAGAAAGUGUUUCCUUCUACACGAGCUCGAAAUUUCUCGGAUUGAUCGGGCGAAAAAUAGCAGCUGGUGGAAUUAUUAGAUGGUACUAUUCCUAGUUACACUUACAGCCUAGUUACGGUGAGCUACAGUUUCAUAUACAAAUGGAGUUCUAUUGUAUUCGAUUCCAUUAGGUUUAGCAUCGAAUCCAGGCGUGCAGCGUGAGAAAGCAAUUGCGGACCGACGACGACGGUUUAGAUUGAACGGGUGGGCAACGAGCAACCGGACAAUUUCGGUACACACGAAUCUCGCCGGGUCUCUGCCGAUUAACCUCUUAACAGCCGCGCUCGUUCGUCGACUAUGACUUUGCUGUGCUCAUUUCCAGCAGCGCCAGAUCGAGCGUUAGAUCGAGAGUCAAACGAUCAAACGAUUAAGCUCGUUGCUCCCGAGAACUUUGCUCCGUACUGUUCGCGCAAUAUUUCUAUGGAAACGUUUCGAAUUAUAUACAUAUAUAUAUAGAUAUACGUGCAACGUGGAUCGGUGGAAGGAAGUUUAAAUUUGAGAAAUUUGCCAGACAGGGGAAAUUUCACUUCAGGUUUGGAUCUCGUUUUGCGACAAUACGAACUUCGAUCAGUUAAUUUUAAGUCCAAUGUGCAGGGUGUUAUUGGCCACAAUUCUUCUCUUGUGAUAGUUAUUGGAAAAGAAGAAGAUUUAACGUUUUUUUGCGAUUAAUAUAACGAUAUAUUAAUUUCUCUUAUUUAAUACUUUUCAGGAUUUGUUAAACAGAAUGGGAAUAAGCAUGGUGUCAUUUCAAACUAAAAAGAUGAUUAAUCACUAUAAUCUUAAUUAUCAACUCAUCGACUUCGCAAUAGAAUAAUAAGAUAUUGUCUAAUAAUUUACUAACUACGAUCAAUAUUUAUAAAACGUCUGGAUAUCUUAUAUCUUAUGCUUCUAAACCAAACGUAAGAACGAUCAACUUAUUUAUCAAGAUACACCUUUUUGUACAACUUUUAGAAUCUGUUGUACAAAGGUACAUAAGUGUAUAAACACCCUGUAUAUGUACACGAGGCCAGCGAACCUCGAUGAAGUCAUCUCCAGCGUGGAAUCGGUUGCCAGACGCAUCCUUUACUUUCGAACCGCCUUACAAGGAAUCGCGGUAUACGUAGUUGCUCUCGUAAUCGAGUCGAAACGCGCUUCGACUCUUGUCAUCAUCGUCGAAACCGCGAUAUUUACGUGGAAAAGGCUGUGACACGAAGGCACGCGACAUCCCGUGGCUGCGUCGGUGGGAACCGGGCCAAGAUCGUCGGAUGGCCGACCCGUGGCAUCGAUCUUUCAUAGUGGAGGCGCGCGAAUCGCGACCACGUGGGCCAAUCGCGCAACAGCGCGACAAGAGGAGGAAAGGAAAUCCCCAACGAUUUUCGCCGCGAUUUUUUUCGCAACGAUUUUUUCGCACGCGACCGUCCAUCUAAUCCCGUUACCUCCUUCCAGGAUCGCAUCGUUUAUUUAUACGAUAAGCGUACAUAUUGUAAGAUUUUUGAAUGUACCGAAGGAUUAUUGAAGUUGAUUUGGAGGAAUGGAUUGUAUGGAGAAAGGAAAAGAAAAAACAAUAUAUUGAAUUUUUUAGAAGAAAGUGAUCUGGAUAAAAAAGUAAAGUAAAACAAUAAUAAUUACAUCAUUGGAUCUCUUUCGAAGCUAUUCUUGAAAUUUUUUCUACCAGGAAUAUUGCCAGAUUUAUUUUUGAUUCAGAUCGUGCGAGCAUAGAAAUCGGGGAGAGCGUGAAAACGGGAAAGUUUCACUCCCUGGAAGUAUUCCGUGGAGAGGCCUGGAACAAACGAUGACGGAAGAUUUGAGGAAAAUAUCUUAGGGAAGAUGAAGUUGGACCGGGGGCGUAUUUCGAUAAUCUGGCAUCGAUAAGAUCGAUGCUCGGUGAACUUGUGAACCUCGACUCGAUCAACAGAACAAUUUUUCAUGGCGUUUACAGGGUAAUCGGAGCCGAUGGGGCGGACGGAUCGUUAAAGUGCACCUAACCGGCCCUCCUCUCAUCGCGUGCACUUCCUGGGGGACGAUGUUCUUAUCUCUCUGCCCGAUAACAUUGACGAUAGGCCCCCGAAUAGCCAGAUAAGAGGAAUUAUCCCGAGAAAAUUCUACGAAUACUCCGCCCACGCACAGCUGCGCCACCGAAAAAUCUCACAGCUGCGUAGAUUUUUCCACUUCGUGAGCGGAUGUAUAUCGGGUGUCAUAAGAAGUAAGCCAGAGAAGUUUUUACCAUUUUUAUAAGGAUCUCUUAUUGAGUAUAGAGAUCUACAACGAGUUCAAUAAAAUAAAUGUAAACUGGAUACGAUUUUUAAUAAA